AACCACUAAAUUUCUUUCUCAAAGUUCUCAGCUGAGCUUACCAUCAGUUCCCAAACCUUGGCCGAGGCAAGGGAGUGAAAAUGACAGCAGACGAAGCAGCGGGUCCGCCCGGCCCCAGAGUCCUCCGCCUCCUCAUCUUCGUCGGCGCCGGAUUUCUCUUUACCAUCGGAAUUAACAAAUGGCGAGAGCUAGAGCGAAAAUCGAUUCAACAACGACAAGGAAUUCAUCAGCAACAGGAAAUUUUAAGUUCUGCUAAUGCUACAACUAAACCCAUCAAAUAAUCUCUCAGGUUUUUAAUUUUGAAAAAAAAA